ensembl:antisense Gm15860 predicted gene 15860
GCUCUCCCGGGUAACCCCGACCUCCCAGCACGCGGGACGGGCCCGCGCCAGGACUCACCCAGAGGCCGCAGAUCCCCAGAGUAACAGCUUGUCCUUCCUCAAGGCUCUUUGCUUAGGAAGAAAGCAAAGAAUAGAACCUGCAAGAUGGCGUAUUCCCUUCCAAUCCUGGCGGCCUGAGUUUGAUCCCAAGAUCCACACGGUCUUGCCUCAGCAUGUGCACCCAGUCACCCAGAGUCCUCAGAAGCAGCAAGAAACUGUGCCACCAGAGGUCUUUUGGUGCGUUUCUCUCUCUGGAGUCCUGACAAAUGCAGCUCAACUACGCAAUGUAAGGCAGACCAAUACAUGCGUGUUGUUAGCAAA